GGCAUUGGUGGUUCAGUGGUAGAAUUCUCGC
rnacentral:piRNA from 5 species